AUGUCCUACGGGAGGCAGCAGUGAGGAAUAUUGGUCAAUGGGAGAGAUCCUGAACCAGCCAAGCCGCGUGAGGGAAGACGGCCCUAUGGGUUGUAAACCUCUUUUGUCGGAGAACAAAGGCGGGGACGCGUCCCCGGAUGAGUGUACCUGAAGAAAAAGCAUCGGCUAACUCCGUGCCAGCAGCCGCGGUAAUACGGAGGAUGCGAGCGUUAUCCGGAUUUAUUGGGUUUAAAGGGUGCGCAGGCGGUCUGUUAAGUCAGCGGUCAAAGCCCGGGGCUC
rnacentral:rRNA from 1 species